UACGUAGGGGGCUAGCGUUGUCCGGAUUUAUUGGGCGUAAAGAGCGUGUAGGCGGCCAGGUAGGUCUGGUGUGAAAACUCGAGGCUUAACCUCGAGAUGUCAUCGGAAACCAUCUGGCUAGAGUCCGGAAGAGGAGAGUGGAAUUCCUGGUGUAGCGGUGAAAUGCGCAGAUAUCAGGAAGAACACCAAUGGCGAAAGCAGCUCUCUGGGACGGUACUGACGCUGAGACGCGAAAGCGUGGGGAGCGAACAGGAUUAGAACGUACCGUGUAGUCC
rnacentral:rRNA from 1 species